GGAAUACAGCUUUCUGAAGUAUAAAAAGCGUAUCAAGCAAGUAUUCAGCAAGAGCACGUCUACCACAUGUGUUCUUUGAUGCUCUUCAAACGACUCAGUCGAGGUCGGAGGCCUUCGCAGACCUCCAAGUGAAGAUUGAAGGACUGCCUGGGUGUCACACUUUCCAUGCAAAAGUGGACACUGGUGCAGAUGGCAACAUCCUACCAGUCAGGUGCCUCAAGAAGAUGCCCUCAAGUGUGCACCUCCAAAAUGACAAAACCAGGAUCACAGCAUACAACGGCACGGACAUCAAACAACAUGGUGUCUUGGAAGUUGAGUGCUUCUUCAACGGGAAAAGGUCAACACAAAAGUUCCAUGUGGUUGACUGCGAGGGUCCCAUCCUGGUUGGUCUGCCAGCAUGUGAGAAGCUGGACCUCGUCCGCCUAAACCAGCAAGUGCACAUGGUGAAAUCAAAGGUCAGAGAUGAAGUGCAUGCUCAUGAAAUCAUCACAGACACUCAGCAGCUCAUCAAGGAGUACCCGGACCAGUUUCGAGGACUGGGCAAGUUUCCAGGAACAGCCUCAAUCGAAGUUGACCCAACAAUCAAGCCUGUGGUGCAUCCUCCAAGGAAGUGCCCUAUCCACCUGCGAGAUGACUUAAAAAAGGAGCUAGAUACCAUGGAGAAGAUGGGCGUCAUCAAACCCAUGCAAGAGCCCACUGACUGGGUAUCCAGUCUGGUCAUCACGAAGAAACCAGACGGGAAGCUGCGGGUCUGCCUUGACCCAAAGGACCUAAACAGGGCCAUAAAGAGGCCACAUCACAGGAACAUCACAACUGAAGAAAUCACCCAUCAGCUGGCUGGGGCAACAACCUUCUCGAAGUUGGACGCCCGUGCAGGCUACUGGGCCAUCCAGCUGGAUGAGGAGUCAAGCAAGCUGACUACCUUCAACUCACCAUUCGGCAGAUACAGGUUCUGCAGGCUGCCGUUUGGCAUCAGGCUCUCACAAGAUCUCUUCCAGAGGAAAAUGGAUGAAAUCCUCACAGAAUUGGAAGGAGUCAUCAACAUCGCAGAUGACAUCUGUGUGUAUGGCAAGGACGCAACCGAGCACACGGAACGGCUCCUCGCCCUCAUGAAGCGCGCGCAAGAAAAAGGUCUAGUCUUCAAUCCGGACAAGUGCGCCAUCGGCCUGAGUCAAGUGUCCUUCUUCGGACAUGUGUACAGUGCGAACGGUGUAUCGCCCGACCCCGCAAAGGUGGAAGCGAUCAAGAACAUCGAGCGCCCCAAGAACGUGGCAGAGCUGCAGUCGUUCCUGGGUAUGUGCACUUACCUGUCUCCGUUCAUUCCAGGUUUCUCAGAUCUGACACAUCACCUGAGGCAGAUGUUGAAGAACGCCAUCGUCGAGUGGUCUCCAAAAGCCUGCAAGGACUUCCAGACACUAAAGGACAUCAUUUCCUCAGAUGCAGUACUGGCAUACUACGACCCGUCGAGACCGGUAACGCUUGAAGUUGAUGCUUCCGGUGUGGCGCUGGGCGCAGUGCUGUUGCAGGAUGGCCAGCCAGUCGCGUUCGGCUCGAAAGCACUAAGCGAUACUGAGACGAGGUACGCCAACAUCGAACGGGAGAUGCUUGCAGUGGUGUUCGGGUGCGAAAAAUUCAGAACAUAUCUGUUCGGACGCACAUUCGAGGUCAUAUCUGAUCACAAACCCCUAGAGAUGAUACUGCAGAAGAGCAUAGCUCGCGCCCCCGCGCGCCUGCAGCGGAUGCUUCUCCGCAUCGAAAACUACACGUUUACCCUGAAGUACCGGAAGGGUGACACAAUGUAUGUGUCUGACGCGCUAUCCAGACUUCCCACAGAACGACCAAGUCCGACGACUACUCUUCAGCUGGACGUCUGCAUCGGCCUGGUGCAGUUCACCCCAUCACGCCUGGAGGAGCUGCGAGAAGAAACCCGCCGAGACGAGACACUACACCAGCUGAAGAAGGUCAUCCUGAGCGGGUGGCCAGCAAGACGCUGCGAAGCCCACCCAGCGGUCAAACCGUUCUGGUCGGUCCGAGACGCCCUGGUGAUCGACGAUGGACUGGUCAUCAAGGGCACCGCCGUGGUCAUCCCGGAUCAGCUUCAGCAGUGGUACGUCGAAAGACUACAUGAAGGACAUCAAGGCCGUGUGAAGAUGGAACUGCGAGCCAGAGACUCAAUCUUCUGGCCAACGCUGAAGAAGGACGUGGAGGCGCGCGUCGCUGCCUGCCUGCCCUGCCAGGCAUCACGUCCCGCUGCAAGUGCAAGCACAAUCGAAGCUGAGCACCAGCACCCAGUUCCCCCCGGUCCCUGGACCGAUGUCAGCACGGACCUGUUUUACAGCAAUGGGAGGCACUUUAUCAUCAUAGUGGACCACUACUCCAAGUUCCCAUUCGUCUACGAGCUGACGAGCACGACCAGCACGCAAGUGAUCAAGGUCAUGAUGCAGCUGUUCGCUGAACAUGGAUCACCGAGCACUGUGUACUCUGACAACGGCCCCCAGUACAGUUCGAAAGAGUUCAGGACAUUCAGCGAGAUGUUCGGGUUCAAACACGUGACAUCGUCCCCGCAUCACCCGCAGAGCAACGGCAUCGCGGAGCGUCAUGUGAAAACCGUGAAAAGCCUGCUGCAGAAGUGCGCUGGGAACUACACCAAGUUCCAGAUCGGUCUCCGCACCCUGAGGGCCACUCCGAUUGACAGCGUUCUCCCGUCACCCGCAGAGCUGCUGUUCGGUCGCAGAAUCGAUCAGCUUCCUCAUCGACACAUGGAGAGCCAGGAAACGACGAACCACCGAAACCGUCUGGAGUACCGCCAGCAACAGCAGCGCGACAGCCACAACGCACGCGUCGGGCAACGCCGCCCUGAGCCGAUGCUGCUUCCUGGUGACGCGGUAUUCAUCAGAAACAAGGCGACGAGCACGUGGGAACAGGGAACCAUCAAAGCGGAACACGAGGCACCAUCGUCCUACAUGGUUCAGCGCGGGUCCCGCCCGCUAUCCAGAGCGAGCAGCACGUCCUCGGUGGACACGGACGACGACGCCCCGCGGCCCGUGAGGCGGACCGCCCAGGACAUUCGUCCGGAUCCUAGCGCUGCGCGUACCCGAUCCGGCCGAGUGACGCGAGCGCCUAUCCGUUUGGACUUGUGAGCGUUCGUGAGAAGGGGGAUGUGAUAGUUUAUCUUACAGCAGUAGUUUAGCGGUCUUUAUCUUAUAGCAGUAGUUUAGCGUCACACGACCAUAUUCAUGUAACCUUGGUUUGCGCCGUUGUUCGUCGCCCUCGUGUGAGACGCUCUUUGUCUAUAUUGUCGAUCUUGAACUGACUCAAUGCACAGUUGUGGAAUACAGCUUUCUGAAGUAUAAAAAGCGUAUCAAGCAAGUAUUCAGCAAGAGCACGUCUACCACAGGCUGCAAUUGAAAAGAUAACGACUUCAGUUCAGACUUUGUGUGUUCGGCCUCCGCCAUGUCGACAAAUGCUGCGCAGCAAAUACAAAAUCCAGAAAUGUGGUAAUGGAGUUCUGGCCACCAAAUAGAAAAAGCCUGCCAAGUUUAUGAUGCUCUGCAUGUUAUGUAGUUUUGAUAAUAAACGACGCAUGGGCUUCAAAUGAAUUGUAUGUUGUACAUUUGGGCAUCAUAUGAGUGGAAUAUUGCAAAGUUUUUACCCAACAUUUAAGCAUAAGACUAAGUUGUUUCAAUA